AGAGUUUGAUCCUGGCUCAGGCGAACGCUGGCGGCGUGCUUAACACAUGCAAGUCGAGCGGAAAGGCCCUUCGGGGUACUCGAGCGGCGAACGGGUGAGUAACACGUGAGUAACCUGCCCUUGGCUCUGGGAUAGCUCCGGGAAACCGGAAUUAAUACCGGAUAUGACCACUUUAGACAUCUUCGGUGGUGGAAAGAUUUAUCGGCCAGGGAUGGGCUCGCGGCCUAUCAGCUAGUUGGUGGGGUAACGGCCUACCAAGGCGACGACGGGUAGCCGGCCUGAGAGGGCGACCGGCCACACUGGGACUGAGACACGGCCCAGACUCCUACGGGAGGCAGCAGUGGGGAAUAUUGCGCAAUGGGCGAAAGCCUGACGCAGCGACGCCGCGUGGGGGAUGAAGGCCUUCGGGUUGUAAACCCCUUUCGGCAGGGACGAAGCGAAAGUGACGGUACCUGCAGAAGAAGCGCCGGCUAACUACGUGCCAGCAGCCGCGGUAACACGUAGGGCGCAAGCGUUGUCCGGAAUCAUUGGGCGUAAAGAGCUCGUAGGCGGUUUGUCACGUCUGCUGUGAAAACUGGGGGCUUAACCCCCAGCUUGCAGUGGAUACGGGCAGACUAGAGGUAGGUAGGGGGAGAAUGGAAUUCCCGGUGUAGCGGUGAAAUGCGCAGAUAUCGGGAGGAACACCCGGUGGCGAAGGCGGUUCUCUGGGCCUUACCUGACGCUGAGGAGCGAAAGCGUGGGGAGCGAACAGGAUUAGAUACCCCCGUAGUCC
rnacentral:rRNA from 1 species